UUCUCUCACUCGCUUUCCCUUCCCUCCUCCCCCUCUCCACAAUCUCCCCUCCCCAUUCCGUGCUCGCUGAUCCGGGCUCUCGCCUUCUGCCUUUGCUGAGUGUGGAUCAAAGGAAGCGAGAGCAGCGAGGUGGCCCGCUCCGGCUGUCCACGGCUACACGCCCCGUUUCCCGUCCUCGCCCGGGCGAGCCAGGAGGGGAUCCAAGCGCCAAGACCAUGCUACUUACGUUGACAGUCUCCCUGCUAUUUCUCGUAUGCAAAAGUACUCUACCUCCGAAUACAGAGGAACGCUUAGCUAAUUACCUCUUACAUGCUGAUCGCUAUAAUAGGCUCAUCAGACCUGCAAAGAAUAGCACUGAUAUAGUAACCAUUGCAAUAAAGGUGUCCCUCUCACAGCUAAUAAGUGUGAAUGAGAGGGAACAGAUCAUGACCACAAAUGCUUGGCUAACCCAGGAAUGGAAUGACUAUCGGUUAAGGUGGGAUCCAGGAAAAUAUGAAGGCAUCGAUAAGCUCAGAAUAUCAUCUCGGCAUCUUUGGCUCCCUGACAUAGUGUUAUAUAACAAUGCUGAUGGAACCUAUGAGGUGUCCCUCUAUACUAACGCAAUUGUAUACAGCAAUGGAGAUAUCUUCUGGCUGCCUCCUGCAAUCUAUAAGAGUGCCUGCAGAAUCGAAGUGAAACAUUUCCCUUUUGACCAGCAAAACUGUACCCUGAAAUUUCGAUCAUGGACAUAUGAUCGCACUGAAAUUGAUUUGGUUUUAAGUAGUGAUGUUGCAAGCAGGGACGACUUCAAGCCCAGCGGGGAAUGGGAUAUUGUGUCUCUUCCAGGGAGAAGGAAUGAGAUUCCAACAGACCCAACAUAUGUUGAUAUCACAUAUGAUUUUAUCAUCAAGAGGAAGCCAUUAUUUUAUACCAUUAACCUCAUCAUCCCCUGUGUGCUGAUCACUUCUCUUGCAAUUUUGGUGUUCUACUUGCCGUCUGAUUGUGGCGAGAAAAUAACACUGUGCAUUUCUGUUCUGCUGGCGUUAACAGUCUUUUUACUGCUUAUAUCAAAGAUUGUUCCACCAACUUCACUGGAUGUUCCACUAAUUGGCAAGUACCUAAUGUUUACCAUGGUUUUGGUAACCUUUUCAAUAGUCACUAGUGUCUGCGUGUUGAACGUUCACCAUCGGUCACCCACCACCCACACCAUGCCUGAAUGGGUGAAGCAAGUGUUUCUCAAGAAGUUGCCCACUCUUCUGUUAAUGAAGCGGCCAGAAAAUCGAAGCAUAAAGGACCGAAUCAGGAAGAAGCAGCUGUCAGCUUGUAUUGAUAGUGAUGCAGACCAAACCGAUGUUCAAACAAGCUAUGGGAACAAAGAGCCAGCAGUGAAAUGUGGCUGGAGAUUGGGAGACAUGUCCCAUCAGCAGGAUUUCAGGAAGAAGGGAUCAACAAAGGCUCAGUCCAACAUACAAGAGGCAGUGGAUGGUGUCAGAUUCAUAGCAGAGCACAUGAAAUGUGAAGAUGAAGAUCAGAGUAUCAGUGAAGAUUGGAAGUAUGUCGCUAUGGUUAUCGACCGCCUGUUUCUGUGGAUAUUUGUAUUUGUGUGUGUGGUUGGCACUUUGGGUCUCUAUCUUCAACCUUUCUUUCAGAACCACACUUCACCACACGUGUUUUCUGAUGCAGAGUGAUAUUCUUCCCUGUGUGAUGGUUGCACCUUCCAGACUUGAAAGAAAAUUAAUGCAAGACACCAAACAAGCAUGUGCUGUUUACAGACACACAGCAAUGGUGAUGACACAUGAUCCAAUCCAGGAGUUCCCACCAGAACUGCUGAAUCUUCACUACCUGAACUCCUAAUAGACACCACCUUCAUGACUGAUACAACUCUGGAAGAAAGAAGAGAUGGUAUUUUUUUUCACCUAGGUCUGUACAUGAAACAUAACUCACGCUGUAGAACUUUGUGCUGUUGGUGCCAUCACAUUUCUUGUUUGUGAACAUUUUAUUUGAACAUGGGGAUGCUUUUAAAUGAAUUCAACAAUCCAAGCAUAUUGUUGUAGAGGUCAGUCAGGUCCAAGCUAUGAGCUGUGUUUGCAGUUCUGGGCUGUGGUGAUAAUGAGUGUAAUGGAUAUUUUCUGUAAGGAAAACCAUGAAAAAAAUAGACCAAGA